rnacentral:snoRNA from 1 species
CCGCACUGUUCGUAACCUGGUUCAGUCUUCAGUGUGAACUCUGGGUUCCAUUCCAGUGCCACAGUGAACUCCAGUGAGGCAGGGGAGCAGUGCCCUUUUGUGCUCGCUCCCUGUUCACUCUCUGGGCACACUU